rnacentral:rRNA from 1 species
UACAGAGGUCUCAAGCGUUGUUCGGAUUCAUUGGGCGUAAAGGGUGCGUAGGCGGCGCGGGUAGUCAACGGUGAAAGCUCGGGGCUCAACCCUGAGUCGGCCGUCGAUACUCCCGCGCUUGAGCACUGUAGAGGCAGGUGGAAUUCCAGGUGUAGCGGUGAAAUGCGUAGAUAUCUGGAGGAACACCGGUGGCGAAGGCGGCAUCCUGGACCGAAAUUGACGCUGAGGCGCGAAAGCCAGGGGAGCAAACGGG